rnacentral:lncRNA from 13 species
ACAUUGACUCUGUACCGUAACACCCUGUAUAUAGCCUCCACAUUGACUCUGUACCGUAACACCCUGUAUAUAGCCUCCACAUUGACUCUGUACCGUAAUACCCUGUAUAUAACCUCCACAUUGACUCUGUACCGUAACACCCUGUAUAUAGUCUCCACAUUGACUCAGUACCGUAACACCCUGUAUAUAGACUCCACAUUGACUCUGUACAGGUACCCCCUGUAUAUAGCCGCCACAUUGACUCUGUACCGUAACACCCUGUAUAUAGCCUCCACGUUGACUCUGUACCGUAAUACCCUGUAUAUAGCCUCCACAUUGACUCUGUACCGUAAUACCCUGUAUAUAACCUCCACAUNNNNNNNNNNUGCUACAAUGGCUUCAUCUGCCAGACGGAGAGAGGCCGUAUGUUUACGCCAUGCACUCCGAGCAGCCGGACACGUUUGGCCACAAGCUGGGGCCCAUGAGCACUGAGGUGAGCUGGAGGCUGGGGGCUGGAGGCUGGGGGCUGAGUAUGGAGGCUGGGGGCUGGAGGCUGGAGGCUGGGUCUAGGGCUGGAGGCUGAGGUCUGAGGCUUGAGGCUGAGGCUGAGGCUGGGUCUAGGGCUGGGGGCUGAGGCUGGGUCUAGGGCUGAGGCUGAGGCUGGGUCUAGGGCUGAGGCUGAGGCUGGGUCUAGGGCAGAGUCUGAGGGGGAGAGACAGUUGUGGUUCAGACUACCGGGACCUGAGUAUGUGUUAAGCAGCACUCACGACAGCAGCACUCAUGCCAGAUGGAGCUAGUUACAUACAGAACAAUCUACAACACUGUAGUAAACACUGGCUUUCUGUUUCAACUGUCCAGCCAUAGCAAGGCCUCAAACAAACCCAGGCAUGUACAUGCAUGACUUGUACAGUGUGGAAUUGAUUAACCAUUUACUAGAGAUUUUGUAUUUCUAGUCAAAUUGUAUUUGUCACAUGCGCCCGAAUACGACAUACCUUACAGUGAAAUGUUUACUGACAAGGCCUUAACCAACAAUGCUUUAUUAAGAAGUUUUAAGAAAAAUAAGUGUUAAUAAGUAAAAAAUAGAGAAAUAAAAGUAACAAAUAAUUAAACAGUAGCAGUGGGCACCGCACAUUGACUCUGUACCGUAACACCCUGUAUAUAGCCUCCACAUUGACUCUGUACCGUAACACCCUGUAUAUAGCCUCCACAUUGACUCUGUACCGUAAUACCCUGUAUAUAACCUCCACAUUGACUCUGUACCGUAACACCCUGUAUAUAGUCUCCACAUUGACUCAGUACCGUAACACCCUGUAUAUAGACUCCACAUUGACUCUGUACAGGUACCCCCUGUAUAUAGCCGCCACAUUGACUCUGUACCGUAACACCCUGUAUAUAGCCUCCACGUUGACUCUGUACCGUAAUACCCUGUAUAUAGCCUCCACAUUGACUCUGUACCGUAAUACCCUGUAUAUAACCUCCACANNNNNNNNNNCCUCUCUCUCUCUCUCUCUCUCUCUCUCUGACUACCUCUCUCUCUAAACUCUCCCCCUAACCACCACCACCCCUCUCUCUCUCUCUCUACACCACAUCUGAAAACAAUCUGUUCAAGGCCAUUUGUAUCAUAUUCCCCUCUUCUCAAUGUAAAGAUAUGAUGUCCCACAAACUUUAUCAGCUCACAGCCUGUCAAUAUACUCCUCAGAAUUCUCAAGUAGUGCUUAGCGAUU